UGGACCAAUGAUGACAGUACAUCAUGAAUCAAGGAUUAUGAUUAAUCCAGUUCUGUUUACCUGAAAUCUGUC
rnacentral:snoRNA from 1 species